GAUAAUACUAUUUGCAGCAUGGGUUUUUUAGAAGUGUUAAUGUUUUUGUGUAACUAAUCGAACCCAUCUAUAAGGCAGUUAUCAAACUUGUUAUUUUAUUUGACAAGUCUGUAAAUUUUUCCAGCAUAUUGACUAAAACUUCUGAGGAGAAUUUAGUCUUACUGACACUUCUUUGACUUCUCUUACUUAUCUGAUAUAAAGCCCUUGGAAACAGCCCACAAACAUCAAGGUAUCCAUGGAUCCAAGAUUGAAAAUUACAGUUCAAUAUUCGUGAUGUUAUAAGGUAAUCUUGCAGAAUCAAGUGAAAUCAGCACAGGCACAAUUGCUUCACUGAACUUUGGGGACUGCUGAGCGGAGAACUUUCCCGAAAUUUGCUGCCAAGCCUUAUAUCCUCUUGUGUCCUGCCAUAUUAGGCCAUACCUGUUGCUGCAGAAGACUUGGAAGAGAAGGCAGAAUAUGAAACACAUUAUUGAUGGAUGGGCUCGGGACACUGAAUUCAGAAGACUGAAUUGCCACAUUGGUUUUGCUGAACAGAGGAGCUUAUUUCAUCCAAACUAUCAAAUUUGAAGGGUGAAUACAUGGCUGAUAAUCAAAUAUUCCUAACUGUGCAGGGUUUUUUAAAUUUUCUGGAAAUGCAAAAUAUGUAUGACAAAUGGUUUCAGAUACGCAUUUCAAAUCAGUUUAGAUAAAAAAUGUGGGUAAAAGCAAUUAGGCUUUCUUAUUAAUAUCAUCACCUGUCACAUCCUUAUGCCGCUUUGCCAGCAAAAAGUAUUGCUAACAGAGGUGUACCAAGAGAAGAUUAUAAGCAGGUCUGAAGGCAUAAGAGAAUUUCUUUACAAGAGAUGGUAAAACGAGAUGACUCUGGAAAAUGUGAAAUAUAGAUCUGGUUGAUCUGACAGUAGACUAAUAGAAUACUAUUGAAUAUUUUUGUCCAGUUUGUCUGACAAAAUGGCAUCAUUUUUCUCAACUUUGCUUACAAAAAUUACAAUGUUUUAUUCUCUAUUUUCUUUUCAGGUGGUAGACAGCUUGAGUAAAAUAAAAUCUGUGCAUCUCUGUGCUAAUUAUGCUUUUUUUUUUUUAAGGAAAAAAAGCUUGUAGGGGAAAUAAUACUUAGAUUUGGAUCUUAAUUCUAGCACAGUGUUUAUAUGCACAGAUAGAUGAUGUUUUGCUUGAACAAAACCAAACCACUGAAAAUAAAAUUUUGUUUGUGAAUAAUAUUUGAAGUACAUGUUAGUUAAAUCUAGCUGUAGGACAAAGGGAAAGGAAGAUCAUUGGCAAUGUUGAAGCUUUCACUGACAAGUUAGAAAAGUUGUAUAUGAUAGUAUAUAUAAUAUAAUAAAUGUAUAUUAACAAUUUAUAUAAUAAUAGUUUUCUUUUGAAAAUGUUGACAUCCUUAGUUUCAUUAUGCAAUAUUACAAGUACUCGUUUUGAAAAAUCUUUCUGUUUCACUGAAAAACAGCCCACUCUACUUAGGAGAAGGAUGGGUAAAAGGGUUAAGAAACAAAAUGAAACCUGAAGGCUGACAUUAAUUUUUUCAGGCUUUCCUUAUCUCGAAAACCUGAACCGCUGAUUUGAUUAGACAAAACUGCUGUUUGCCUGCCUUUAUGUAACUGAAUGUAACAAAUACACAGGACUGUAUAUUAUAUGGUGUUUUCCAUAAUGUAAUAUAUUUUCAGGAGUCCAAAGAGUUUCUGAAGGUAAUGAAAAUAUUUUGGAGGUAUUCACUAUGGGUUUGCUGCAUGGAUUAUUGUGCCUGAAAUGUGGUUAUAGUAUGCAUAGCGCAUUGGUGCAGUGGAAUUAGUGUCUUCUUUUCACAUUGGAUAUUUACCUAAGUUAGUAAGACUAAUGCCUAACUUUUGUAACAGAUUUGAGAAGACAUGUUAGCCCUUUUCUGUCAGGAACUACACACCUACACACACACACACACACACACACACACACAAAACCAUUAUUCAUUAUAGUGUGGAAUAUUGUAUUAACAGAUUGCGUACCUUUUUACAGUAGGAGUUUUUAUUUGUUUGGGAAUCACAGACAGCACCUUUCAUAGAAAUUUCAGUCUUUAUUUCGGCCUUGGAUCCUGUUACGUUCUCCAUAUUCCAUACUUUUCUGAUCUGUGGUAUCUGUAGCAAUGCAUCAGCUCCAAACCUUAUCUCAAGAUUAUGAAUGUAUGGUAAUUAUGAAUGGUAUAAAAAGCUGACCUAGACAGUUGUUAACCUCUAUCAGAAUACAAGUGAAGAGAACUGAUGUUUGAUGAAAUGUUUAUUUUGUUCUGUGAAUUUCCUGCAUACAAUGCUUGAGGUUACAUUGACCAUAAAACUGGAGAUAAAAUCACAUUUUCCUACCAGUCAUUUUGAUAUUAUAGAAGUGUAUUACUUUUUAAUAUUAAAAAAUAGAAUAAAUAGAAAAAAUUGAACUGCAGACACUAUUUGGUCAAUGUUAACAACCAAUAAAUUGUUUAUUGUAAGGAUACACUAAUUUUAUUGCCAGUAACAAUAUUAAUGGUUAUUCACGCUAAGAUAAGGGCAAAAAAAAAAAAAAAAAAAAAAAAAGUCUAAUGAUCCCUGAUGUAUGAUUACCAAAAGGUUCAUGAAGGAAUUUCCCUGUUGCUUACUUGCAUUUCAGAUUACAUUAAUGGUUAGACACAGUAAAGUAUUUUGGAGACUUGUUUCUGUAAAGCUGAGUCUGAUUUAUUGCCAGAGGCAAGGUGCCAGACUGGAUGCAUCAAGGAAUCUAUCUGCUAAGAAACACUUUGGUUUCUUUUGAGAGACUGUCCAUAUGCACAUUCGUACCAUAAGCGUUUGUCUGCUUCUCUGAGUUGAAGAAUUCUGACUUUUUUUGCAGUAUCCAGGGGAUCACUAUCAUGUCCUGUCCCCAUGUGAUAAAAUUGACUAAGAUUUGACCAGCUCACUUCAGGAGUAAUUUGUGACAAGGCCUUUAGCAGACACCUUAGCAAUUUAGCCUUCUCUUUCAAUUUGAUUGCUUCUGUGUGUGUGUGCAUGCAUGCGUGUGUGUGUGUGAGAGAGAGAGAGAAGCCUUUGCCCUGCUUUCCAUUUUGAAUGCAAUUUGGUUCUUACUCAUGGAAUUUACCUUACCUCCUUCUUCUUGUGACCUGCAGGCAGAAACUUUCUUUGCUUUUUAUUCUUAUCAGCUUGUUCACAGUUCAUAGGAGAUGUUACUUCACUGAAGUCAAUUACAUGUCUUUGUCCAACAGAUGCCUAGUUGGGCUUCAAGGGUAGGCCAGGGUGAUGUGGUUCUCACCACCUCAGAAGUGCUUAUAAAACAGUCAAGGAAUUCUAGACCUAGAUUCUGAUUGUCUAGAGAUUCUGCACUGCAGUUGUCUAAAUUGUGCUUUAAACCACCUGAAGUAUUUAUUUGCCUACCUUGAUUCUUAGAAAAAAAAGUCAUACCUUUAGUGUGUGAAGUGUUUGCAAGAACAGUGGACAUUUGGUCAUUGUGACACCUUUGGUAAGCACUGUCCACAGUAUUUCUUUUAUGGGCUCUUAGGAAGGUUAAGGAGGGAUUUGGACAGGAUCGCUGUAAUUUCUCUAUCUGAACUAGAUUUCCCAUUCUAUCUGCAUACUUCAUUCUUUAUCUAAAAUGUAGAGAUCCUACACCCUGCUAUAUGUUGACUAAUAUAUUCCAUAAUGCACACUUGAUGUUACUGGGAUCCUCCUUUAAAAAAAUCCAUGCAUGUGUGCAUGUGCACGUGGGAAGCAUAUGUACCUGUAUAUCAUUUAUUCAGGUUGUCCCUACUUAUUUCUGUGGUCUCAGACUUUUGUCUUUAUAUAGAAAAAAUGAAGUGUGAUUAUCCAAAGAUUGUGAGGAGCUGAUUAAAAAUACCGAAUGACACCCCAUUUGACACUCAGUAUCUCAUAUAUCCUACUUAGAAAGGAGAAGCUGGAAGUGGUGCUUCUGCCACUGUUUGUCCCACUUUUACAAGCUAUUUGCUUGUUAAGGCAAGGGAUGAAGGUGGCAAGGUUGUGCCUUAAUAUCCCAUGAAUCCUAAUUGUACGUAUAUCUGUCACAAUACAACUGCCAUAUUUCUGUAAUAUUUGCAUAUGCUACGUGUGUAUUCAUGUCCAGGGGAUCUGACAUAUCCAGAAAAUAUGAGUUCCAGCACGUAUUCUAUGUACUGUUUAUUUAGGCAUGACACAAUCUUAUUUUUCUUCCCAGUUUUUUUUUUUGUGUGUGUGUAAAACACGGUGCCAAGGAAAGCCUUCACAGAUGGUCACCUUAGCUCUCAGAGACAUUGUAUUCCUGUGAAACUUACUGGAAUACCAAGACUGGCUGUGCAUAUUUUUCACUCCUAACAGAAGACAAAUGUUACUUUUAGCCACUGCUGUUAAUAGUCUAGUAAUGUUUUAUCCAUCUAUCACCUUGAUUUCUUUCUAGUUUUUGUUUGCUUUUUGUGUUUGUGUG
ensembl:lncRNA